rnacentral:rRNA from 1 species
ACCUGGUUGAUCCUGCCAGUAGUCAUAUGCUUGUCUCAAAGAUUAAGCCAUGCAUGUCUAAGUAUAAGCAACUAUACGGUGAAACUGCGAAUGGCUCAUUAAAUCAGUUAUCGUUUAUUUGAUAGUACCUUACUACAUGGAUAACCGUGGUAAUUCUAGAGCUAAUACAUGCUAAAAACCUCGACUUCGGAAGGGGUGUAUUUAUUAGAUAAAAAACCAAUGCCCUUCGGGGCUUUUUGGUGAUUCAUGAUAACUUUACGGAUCGCAUAGCCUUGCGCUGGCGACGGUUCAUUCAAAUUUCUGCCCUAUCAACUUUCGAUGGUAAGGUAUUGGCUUACCAUGGUAUCAACGGGUAACGGGGAAUUAGGGUUCGAUUCCGGAGAGGGAGCCUGAGAAACGGCUACCACAUCCAAGGAAGGCAGCAGGCGCGCAAAUUACCCACUCCCAGCACGGGGAGGUAGUGACGAAAAAUAACGAUGCUAAACUCAUACGAGGCUUAGCAAUCGGAAUGAGUACACUUUAAAUCCUUUAACGAGUAACAAUUGGAGGGCAAGUCUGGU